AUGUUUAAGCCCAUGAAGUCCCCCCUCAAUUCCAAUAUGAUAUCUACUAUAAUAACAAUAGAGGGGGGACAACAAUAUGGAGAAGGAGGAAAAUCAGGAGAAAGAUAUACCAAAAAACAUAGAGAAAAAUUUCGAAGGGAAACGCACAUGAAGAUUUCACAAACCACAAACCUGCACUAUCUUCCUUUCACCUACAAAUCCUAA